rnacentral:rRNA from 1 species
GAUGAACACUAGCGGCAGGCCUAAUACAUGCAAGACGAACGGUAAGUUGAGUAGCAAUACUUAGCCAAGAGUGUCGUACGGGUGCGUAACACGUAUGCAACCUACCCUAUACAGGAGGAUAGCCUAGGGAAACCUGGAUUAACCCUUCAUAGUAUUAUUGGAUGGCAUCAUUUGAUAAUUAAAACUGAGGUGGUAUAGGAUGGGCAUGCGUCUGAUUAGUUAGUUGGCGGGGUAAUGGCCCACCAAGACGAUGAUCAGUAGGGGUUCUGAGAGGAAGAUCCCCCACACUGGCACUGAGAUACGGGCCAGACUCCUACGGGAGGCAGCAGUAGGGAAUAUUGGUCAAUGGAUGCAAGUCUGAACCAGCCAUGCCGCGUGCAGGAAGAAGGCCUUCUGGGUUGUAAACUGCUUUUGCCAGGGGAUAAAAUUUCCAUGCGUGGAAAACUGAAGGUACUUGGUGAAUAAGCCACGGCUAACUACGUGCCAGCAGCCGCGGUAAU